UGGGUUCUGCUAUUUUCAUGGCACGUCGGUGAUUUUAUUUUCUUUCUGAUCUUAAUGUCUUUAAAAUCGUAGAUUAAAGGCUUAAUAUCCUCCGUAGUCAGAAAAUAGAAUUUUCGAGGAAUGCGAAGGUGUACUGUUUUCGGGUUGUAAAGGGGAAGGGGGCGGAAGUCAGCACGAGUGGGUUGUAAACAGUUUUCUUUCGUGUGUUUCAGUGUUUUACAGGGGCCUUGGGAUCAAAUGGUAGCACGACGUCAGGCGGAAUGUAUUUCUAUUGUGCUUUAUUUUCCUUCCAUUUUAGUUUUCUUGGAGGGUUUAAAAAGACAAAACAAAAACAACCUAAUGAUGACUUGUGGUUUGUAAACAAACAGCUGGGUCUAAGUCCUACAGUGAAUGUUAUGCAAAGAAGACAAAAAAGACCACCUAAACUGACAAUAACUUUGGCAUCAAUACAUGAGGAAUAGUCACAAAAGAACGAAACCUGUAUCUUUCAACACAAUGUCUCUCUAAUAUACUGGAUACAGAUGGGCUUUUCUUGAUCAGAAAGCAGGCAUGUCUUGAUGGGGCAGCAGAGCUGUUCUACAAAGAUAGUGCCCAGUGUUCAAGUCUGUCCAGAUCCUUCUGUAUCUUAAGCCUGUC